rnacentral:rRNA from 1 species
UACGGGGGGAGCAAGCGUUGUUCGGAUUUACUGGGCGUAAAGGGCGCGUAGGCGGUAGCACAAGUCAGUUGUGAAAUCUCCGGGCUUAACUCGGAAAGGUCAACUGAUACUGUGCGACUAGAGUGCAGAAGGGGCAACUGGAAUUCUCGGUGUAGCGGUGAAAUGCGCAGAUAUCAGGAGGAACACCGGUGGCGAAGGCGGGUCCCUGGGCCGAUACUGACGCUGAGGAGCGAAAGCGUGGGGAGCGAACAGG